rnacentral:sRNA from 1 species
CGGUGUUCCACAGGGGUCGGUACUCGGCCCUC